UACGGAGGGGGCUAGCGUUGUUCGGAAUUACUGGGCGUAAAGCGCGCGUAGGCGGUGCUCCAAGUCUGGUGUGAAAUCUCCCGGCUUAACUGGGAGGGUGCAUUAGAAACUGGAAUGCUAGAGGAUGGGAGAGGUAAGCGGAAUUCCUGGUGUAGCGGUGAAAUGCGUAGAUAUCAAGUGGAACACCAGUGGCGAAGGCGAGUCUCUGGACAUUUCCUGACGCUGAGGCACGAAAGCCAGGGGAGCAAACGGG
rnacentral:rRNA from 1 species